rnacentral:rRNA from 1 species
UACGGGGGGGGCAAGCGUUGUUCGGAAUUACUGGGCGUAAAGGGCGCGUAGGCGGCCUGCUAAGUCGGAUGUGAAAUCCCUCGGCUCAACCGAGGAACUGCAUCCGAUACUGGCGGGCUUGAAUCCGGGAGAGGGAUGUGGAAUUCCAGGUGUAGCGGUGAAAUGCGUAGAUAUCUGGAGGAACACCGGGUGGCGAAGGCGGCAUCCUGGACCAACACUGGACGCUGAUGAGCGAAAGCCAGGGGGAGCAAACGGGG